GUGCUCCCUAUUAGAAGAAAAAGACUUGUCUACUUUUCCCUCGCAUCUCAGAGAGCGAAACAAGAGAUCGAGAUAGAGAGGGAGAGAGCGACAGCGCAAACUUAGGGAGAGAAAGUGAAAGGCCCACACAUCAAACAAUGGCGAAUGCAACCCCCUCCUCCCCUGCUCUCCUCCUCCUACUCCUCCUUCUCUCCGCCGCCGCUGCAGCAUCGGACUCCGGUCUCGGCGUAAGCUUCGGCUCCACCCGCGACGCGCCGCUGAGCUUGAUGAUCCCGAUCCCGCUCCCGUCGUCGUGCCGAGGGUCGUCGGUGGGGGAGUGCGCGGUGUUUGAGGAGGUGAGCAGGCGCGUGCUGGCGGGGGGCAUGGGGGACUACAUGAACUACGCGGCGCUGCGGGCCGACAGCGUGCCCUGCUCCCAGCGCGGCGCCUCCUACUCCAACUGCCGGCCCGGCGCCCAGGCACACCCCUACUCCCGCGGCUGCUCCACCAUCACCCACUGCCGCUCCUCCUGACCUCACCUGACCAUCUGCAUCUCCCUCUCUCUGCGGUACGUAUAUCCCCCUCCUCCUCCUCUCUCUGCAUCUGCACCUGCAUCUUGCAUCCCCUUGUUGAGCGUUGUUGCUUAUACCCUUCCAUUCAAAAUUUUUAAUUCUAAACAAACAACUUAAUUUGUCCUGCGAAAUGAUGUAUGUACUAGUAAUUAUCUUUUUCUAAAGAACUUAACUUAUAAGAGAAUGGUAUUAUCUUUUUCUAAAACCAUGUAUCACUUUACCUAGGCCUUCUUCAGAAUGAUAUAAUAAAAUGCAUAUUUUUAUUAUUUACGUUUUCCCAACUGAGGGUUAUGUUAUGCGCUAUGUUGCACGGAUACUAACACGGAACAUGACACGAUUCGAAUACGACGAUUCGGUAAAGUUCAAAUUAUAAGGAUACGGACACGGCAAGGACAUUGUUUUACUGCUCUGUGAUGGGCUUGUGUUGAUCUUGCCCUAGCCCACCAGCCGCCUCAGCCAUCUCCUGCCCUCCCCGUGCGCAUGCUUCGGCCGCCGACGAGCUCCUCCGGCCGCCGGAAAUCCCUGCAUCACCUCUCUCUCUCUCCCUUUUGGCCAACCCCUUCACCGCAUUGUGGUUUGCGGACCCUGGUAGCCACCUAGCUCGAGCACCUUUGUCCCCUGGCCGUGGCCCAGCCUUCGGCGACUCCCCUCGACGCCGCCGUCGUCCCUGCGCAUGCCGCCGGAGCCGCCCCAGCUCUCUGCGGCCACCUGCAUGCACCCAGGCCGAGCUUGGGUCAUCUUUGCAUCCGCGCGCCGCCACCGCUCCCUAUCGGCCGCGCCGCCCUCUGGCGACCUCCGGCGACCUCGCGCGCGCCUCCCGCCGUCCCCGCACGCCGCCGGCCGCCACCCGAGCUCUCUGCGGCCGUCCCGAGCGCGUGCGGGCCCUGCUUGGACCUGUACGGCCUUCGAGGGCCGCCGCCGCCCACUGUCGGGAGCACCACCUCCUCCUUGACCUCCGCCGACGUACCGUCGCCGCCCCGACCUCCUCCGACCGCCGCCACGCCGCCGGGAAGCUUUGAACCCGAGAGCAAGAGAUCGAGUUGAUCUCCUCCGCCGCGCAACUGGCCGCCUCCCGCCGCCGGCCAGCAGGUGCCCCGGACUCCACCGACUGGCCGCACCCUUCCCUGGCCGGGCCGCCCGCCGUCCAGCCACCGGCGGCCAACCCUAGCUCUCCCCUGGCCGGUAAGCUUGUUUUCAGCCUUUCUGCGCAGUGUUUCCUGUUCUACUCACUGUUCCGGCGACCUGAGGCUGUUCCGAUGCCUCCGGAGGUGAGCACGGUGAUCGUCAGUCAGUCCUGAUCACAGUGCUCACCUCACUUAGGGUCAACGAGCCCCUGGUUAGCGAGAUAAGCAUGCUUUUCCUACUGUGCGCGCUGUUUUACUAAUUUUGCGUCGCCCGUGCGCGUGCCACAGUGGCCGGCAGUGCUCCGAAAGGUGAGCACGGCCUCCGGCACGCUGAGACCAGUCAGCGGGAGUCUCGUCUUGGCUGUUUGACCUCUGGUU